rnacentral:rRNA from 1 species
GCAUAUCAAUAAGCGGAGGAAAAGAAACUAACAAGGAUUCCCUUAGUAACGGCGAGUGAAGAGGGAAGAGCUCAAAUUUUAAAUCUAUCAUGUUUGUACAUGAUCGAGUUGUAAUUUGAAGAAGCGUUUUCUCGUACUUUAUGCAAUCAGUAUAAGUUCUCUUGGAACAGGACAUCAUAGAGGGUGAUAAUCCCGUCUGUUACUGGUUGUGAGGUUCGUUAUGAUACGCUUUCAAAGAGUCGAGUUGUUUGGGAUUGCAGCUCCAAAUGGGUGGUAAACAUCACCUAAGGCUAAAUAUUUGCGAGAGACCGAUAGCGAACAAGUACCGUGAGGGAAAGAUGAAAAGAACUUUGAAAAGAGAGUUAAAGAGUAUGUGAAAUUGUUGAAAGGGAAACGAUUGAAGUCAGUCGUGCAGUCAUCAAUUCAGCGGUUAACAUUUUAUGUUUCCGUGUAAUUUGGUGUCUGUUGGUUAGCAUCAAUUUUGAUUGUUAUAAAAAGGUUAAGGGGAUGUGGCUCCUUCGGGAGUGUUAUAACCCUUAGCGUAAUGUGACGAUUAGGAUUGAGGUUUGCAACGAAUACCUUUUAGGGCAGUUUCACCUGGCCUCUCGUGGAAUUAUAGAUAGUUAAGAGCAUGCUCCUACUGUUUAUGAUUCUACGAAAAGGUUGGAGUGUAAAACUAAUUCGUUAAGGAUGUUGACGUA